GAUGAACGCUGGCGGCGUGCCUAAUACAUGCAAGUCGAGCGAACAGAUGAGGAGCUUGCUCCUCUGACGUUAGCGGCGGACGGGUGAGUAACACGUGGAUAACCUACCUAUAAGACUGGGAUAACUUCGGGAAACCGGAGCUAAUACCGGAUAAUAUAUUGAACCGCAUGGUUCAAUAGUGAAAGACGGUUUUGCUGUCACUUAUAGAUGGAUCCGCGCCGCAUUAGCUAGUUGGUAAGGUAACGGCUUACCAAGGCAACGAUGCGUAGCCGACCUGAGAGGGGGAGCAGACAAACGGGAAAGGAGAGACGGCGAAGAGGACUACGGGAGGGAGCAGGGGGGAAGUGUGGGAAAGGGGCGAAAGUCUGACGCAGAAAUGCAGCGGGAGGGAAGAAGGGCUUAGGAGGGGAAAACGCUGGUAGGAGGGAGGAAAAGGUGGCCGAGAAUACAGGGAGCGAAUGACGGUACAUGAGGAGAAAGAAACGGCGAACUACGGG
rnacentral:rRNA from 1 species